GGCUGGUCCGAGUUCAGUGGGGUUCACAACUCAUUGAUCACGACCAGUUACAGAUUUCUUUGUUUCUUCUCCACUCCCACCAAGUCAUUUGAUGAGCCUUAA
rnacentral:Y_RNA from 1 species